rnacentral:lncRNA from 1 species
GUUCCCAUUUGUGUCUUAAGUCCACUAGUUCUGUCAGAGUGGGCAAUUAAUAAGGUACACAUAGUUAUGAAUUCCGAUGGCUGAAGUAUUUCUCUUUAAUUGCUUGAAUGAACAGAAAUGCACAAGGAAAAUAACUUCAUGUAACAGCAGCCUGUUAUUAAAGAGCAAAGUGCCUUCAUAUACAGACUCAACUCCAGGUUUGAGCCAUGCCUGAGAAAGUGGCCUAACCUCAUCACCGUGAACACCAUGGGGAGUCACUGGGAUCCAGUUCGGAUGGAGAUCUCUGUCCUCCAGCUUUUCAGGACUCAAGCACCGCUGCUAUGAAAAAAGGGAAGCUUAAUUUCUAAUGCCUUCUCCCUUUUCUGCGAAGAGCGCCGCACCUGCUCCAGCAUUCUAGGGAGAAAUCACAGUUUUCUCCGCCCCCUGACAAGCGCCAUACUCCAGGUGGGUCUAGAUGUCUCCCUUCCCAGCCAGGGCGGAGAGCCAAAGGCACCUCUCCCAGGCUGGGUGGGCGCGCCAGGGAC